GCAAUAUGUUUUCUUUAUCAAAUCAUACAACUAAAGGUCAUAUUGCAGUCUAUGGAUGGUUUUUAGUCUAGAAUGACAUCAAAUAUUCGUUAUAUUUUACUUAAAUGCUACAAGUUUUCAAACAAAAUGGUAGGAUUGGAUUUUACCAAGCAUUUUUAGAAAAUCAAGAGCAAUUUUGUUCUGGGUUGGUGCUUUUAUUUUUUUUACCUACCUCAAUUGUUUUUAAUUGGUUUAUAUUUAAUGUCAUGAUUGAUGUUUAUAAUUGUAUGCUAUUAAUUGUUUUAUCGCUCUUUUUAUAU
rnacentral:lncRNA from 1 species